GCUAUUUUAAACUUAUUUUAAAGGCUUAGGAUAAUUAGACCAAGGGCCUUCAAAGCCUUAAGCAGAAGUUAUAAGAGGUACUGCCUGCCCAGUGACACCUGUUCAACGGCCGCGGUAUUAUGACCGUGCAAAGGUAGCGUAAUCACUUGUCUUUUAAAUAAAGACCAGUAUGAAUGGCGAAACGAGAGCCAAACUGUCUCUCCCAACUAGUCAGUGAAAUUGAUCUUCCCGUGCAGAAGCGGGGAUAUUAUUACAAGACGAGAAGACCCUAUGGAGCUUUAAGCUAUAAUUAUGCAAACACUACAAGGGACCCUUAGUAAAGCUUUAGGUUGGGGCGACCGCGGAGAAAAAUAAAACCUCCGAGAUGAUUAGCCAAGAAAAACACAUCAAAGCAACAAAAACCUUGACACACUGACCCAAUAUUUGACCAACGAACCAAGUUACCCUAGGGAUAACAGCGCAAUCUUCUCAUAGAGUCCUUAUCGACGAGAAGGUUUACGACCUCGAUGUUGGAUCAGGGCCCCCAAAUGGUGCAGCAGCUAUUAAAGGUUCGUUUGUUCAACGAUUAAAGCCCUACGUGAU
rnacentral:rRNA from 1 species